GACGAACGCUGGCGGCGUGCUUAACACAUGCAAGUCGAACGGUCAAACGCCUUGCUUUCUGGUGGGUGGGGAGGGGCGGCGGACGGGGUAGCAAGACGAUAGCAACCUGCUCCCUCCUGCUGGAUAACCGCAAGAAGGUGUGGCUAAUACGGGAUAUUCUGAGCCUGUCGCAUGAAGGGUCUAGGACAGAUUUUGUUUCGGUUGGGGAUGGGGUCGCGGCUUAUCAGCUUGUUGGUGGGGUGAUGGCCUACCAAGGCGGUGACGGGUAGCCGGCCUGAGAGGGUGGACGGCCACAGUGGGGCUGAGACACGGACAAGACUACUGCGGGCGGCAGCAGGAGGGAAUAUGGCACGAGGGGAGCACGGCUGAUGCAGCGACGCGGCGUGAGAGAUGGAGGCCUUCGCGUUGUGAACCUCUUUCGCCAGUGAAGCAGGCCUGCCUCGUUUGUGGGUGGGUUGACGGUAGCUAGAUAAGAAGCGCCGGCUAACUACGUG
rnacentral:rRNA from 1 species